AUCCAUAGCUCAAUUGGUUAGAGCUACCGCCUCUUAAGCGGUAGGUUCUAGGUUCAAGUCCUUCAUUGGAGACCA
rnacentral:tRNA from 1 species